AUGAAAGGCGAGAAGAAGAAAAGGAAAGGAAAAGCUUUCACUUUUCAUCAUUGCUACAAAGAGCUCAAGGAUGAGGAGAAGUGGAAAACUAGAGAGACUUUUGAAUCAUCGAAGAAGAAGAGUGCGGUGCUUGAGGAUGAAGAAGAUGUCGCUAUUGAGGAGACGAGCCCCACACCUCACUCCGCGACAAAAUCUUAUAGGCCCGAUGGAAACAAGAAAGCCAAGGGAACCAAGGCCGGAGACAAUGAUCUCAAGGAAGGAUUUGAUGCCAUUGUCAUGGCGAGGAAAGAGUAUGCCAAAGAGAAAAUAAUCUUGAAGCUCAAGGAAAUAGAGGAGAGGAGUGAGGCAGAGCGGCGAAGGGUGGAGGCCGAGGAGAAGAGGGUGGCGGCCGAGGAGAGGUUGGCCGCGGCCGAGGAGAGGAAGGUGGACCUAGAGAAGAAGAAGGGCGCGGCCGACGAGAUGAAGAUGGUUGAGGAGAGGACACUGAAGUUUAUGUUUAUGGACACAUCAACUCUUGAUGCCAAGGCAAAGGCAUAUGUUGAACUUUGUCGCGAUGAAAUGCUCAUGAAGAAGAAAAUGCUCAUGAGGCCAAUGAUGAUGGGAGGAGGCAUGGGAGGUGCCAUGGGAGGAGGCAUGGGAGGAGGCAUGGGAGGUGCCAUGGGUGGUUACAUGAACAUGAUUGGAGGUUCCAUGAAUGGUGCAUUUGGCGGAAACAUGGGAGGUGGCGUCGGUGGCAACAUGGAAGGUGGCUUUGGCGGCAUGGGAGGUGGCUUUGGCGGCAACAUGAUGGGUGGCUUGGGAGGUGGCUAUGGCGGCAACAUGAGUGGCGUUGGAGUUGGCUUCGUCGGCAACAUGACCGGUAUGGGACGCAAAAGAUGCUUCCGGUAG
rnacentral:rRNA from 1 species